rnacentral:lncRNA from 1 species
CUGGGAGACAAGCCCCAGCCCCAGGAGUCCCAGGUGUUCCCAUUCUGUGAUCAGCACAGAACGCACACCCCUCACCAUGGAGUUUGUGCUGGGCUGGGUAUUUCUGGUUGCUCUUUUAAAAGGUAAUUAAUGAUGAACGAGGGACACUGAGUCUGUGAAUGGAAAUGAGUGAAACAGUGGAUGUGUGACAGUUUCCUGACCAAAAUGCCUUGUGUCUGCAGGUGUCCAGUGUGAUGUGCAGCUGGUGGAGUCUGGGGGAGAACUUGCGAAGCCUGGGGGGUCCCUGAGACUCACCUGUGUGGCCUCUGGAUUCACCUUCAGUAGCUACUACAUGCACUGGGUUCGCCAGGCUCCAGGGAAGGGGCUGCAGUGGG